UGGAUGCUGCAUUUGCCACCUGCAUUCC
rnacentral:piRNA from 1 species